UCAAGCAAGAAAGGGUUUAUGGUGAAUGCCUUGGAGUGAGAAGACGAUGAAGGCCGUGGUAAGCUGCGAAAAGCCGGGAGGAGGAGCACACAUCCUGAGAUCCCCGGACCGCCGAAUGGGGUAACCCGACGGACGCGAGUCCGCCAUCUGUCAUCCGAAUCAAAUACGAUACAGAAGUAAUACUAGGAGAACUGAACCAUCUCAGUAUCCCGGGAAUAGAAAUCAAUAGAGAUUCCGAAAGUAGCGGCGAGCGAAAUCGGAAGAGCCUAAACCGGUAGCACUACCGGGGUUGUAGGGCCGUCACGGCGCAAGCCGUGGAGUAAGAAAUCAUCAGUAUAGCAGAACGGUUUUGGGAAAGCCGGACACAGAGGGUGAAAUCCCCGUACGCGUAAUGCCGAUGACUCCACUAGACGGUACCUGAGUACGGCGAGGCACGAGAAACCUUGCCGGAAUCUAGGUCGACCACGAUCUAAGGCUAAAUACUUCUCACUACCGAUAGCGAAACAGUACCGUGAGGGAAAGGCGAAAAGAACCCCGGCGAGGGGAGUGAAACAGAACCUGAAACCGUAAACCCACAACAAGUCAAAGCGGCGUGAGCCGUGAUGGCGUGCCUUUUGUAGAAUGAGCCUGCGAGUUACGAUGUAUAGCAAGGUUAAGGCAUUGUAGUGCCGGAGCCGUAGGGAAACCGAGUGUGAAUAGCGCUGUUAGUUGUAUGUCGUAGACCCGAAGCCAAGUGAUCUAGUUACGUGCAGGUUGAAGCGGCGGUAACACGGCGUGGAGGACCGAACCCUAGUCUGUUAAAAAAGGCAGGGAUGACAUGUGACUCGGAGUGAAAGGCUAAACAAACUUGGAAAUAGCUGGUUCUCCCCGAAAUGCCUUGAGGGACAGCCUCUUCCAAAGAUGUUGGAGGUAGAGCACUGGAUGGACUAGGGGGCUUCACCGCCUACCAAACCCAAUCAAACUCCGAAUGCCAACACCCAACGGGAGGGAGUGAGACUGCGGGCGAUAAGGUUCGUGGUCAAAAGGGAAACAGCCCAGACCGACAGCUAAGGUCCCUAAAUACUGCUCAGUGUAAAAUGAUGUGUGAGUGCGAAGACAGCCAGGAGGUUGGCUUAGAAGCAGCCAUUCCUUAAAAGAGUGCGUAAUAGCUCACUGGUCGAGUACCCACGCGCAGACAAUGUAACGGGGCUAAGCAGUAUACCGAAGCUUCGGAAUCAUAGCUUGUAACCAAGUUAUGGUUGGUAGGGGAGCAUUCCGUGCACCGAUGAAGGCGUGCUGAGAAGUCCGCUGGAGGAAACGGAAGAGAGAAUGCAGGUAUAAGUAUACGAAAAGAGGGGUGAGAUCCCCCUCCGCCGAAAGCCUAAGGAUUCCUGGGUAAAGGUCAUCUGCCCAGGGUUAGUCGGCCCCUAAGACGAGGGCGAAAGCCGUAGCCGAUGGGAAGCUGGUUCAUAUUCCAGCACCUUGUCUAGUUUUGAUGGGAUGACGCGUGAGAUGAAACUGAGCCGGGCGACGGUCGCCCCGGUCGAAGCUGUAAGCAGGGAGGUAGGCAAAUCCGCCUCCAUAACGCGAGCAGUGAUAGCGAGCUUUCUUACGGGAAAGCGAAGUCAGCCUAGUCAUGGCGCCAAGAAAUAAUCCCUAAAAUUGUGGCUAGUCAGGACCGUACCGGAAACCGACACAGGUAGGCAGGAUGAGUAAUCUAAGGCGCUCGAGAGAAUUCACGUUAAGGAACUCGGCAAAAUGCACACGUAACUUCGGAAGAAGUGUGACCUUUGCUGGUUUAGUAAUAAGUUAGCACAGGUAGCAUAAAGCAGUCCCAGGCGACUGUUUACCAAAAACACAGGCCUCUGCCAAUCAGUAAUGAGACGUAUAGGGGCUGACACCUGCCCGGUGCUGGAAGGUUAAGGGGAGCGGUUAGGCGCAAGCCGAAGCUGCGAACUGAAGCCCCAGUAAACGGCGGCCGUAACUAUAACGGUCCUAAGGUAGCGAAAUUCCUUGUCGGGUAAGUUCCGACCCGCACGAAAGGUGUAACGAUCUGGGAGCUGUCUCAACGUGAAACUCGGUGAAAUUUAAGUACCGGUCAAGAUGCCGGUUACCCGUGGUUAGACGGAAAGACCCCGUGAACCUUCACUGUAACUUACCAUGGGGACUUGAUGCAGUAUGUGUAGGAUAGGUGGGAAGCUAUGAAACGUGGUCCUUAGGCUGCGCGGAGCUGCCGGUGAAAUACCACCCUUACUGGAUUAGGUUUCUAACCCGGACCAUGAAGCUGGCCCGGGGACAGUAGUAGGCAGGCAGUUUGACUGGGGCGGUCGCCUCCUAAAGAGUAACGGAGGUGCGCGAAGGUCUCCUCAUCCUGGUUGGAAAUCAGGACACGAGUGUAAAGGCACAAGGAGGCUUGACUGCGAGACCCACAGGUCGAGCAGGUACGAAAGUAGGUCUUAGUGAUCUGGCGGUCGCGAGUGGAAGCGCCGUCACUUAACGGAUAAAAGGUACUCCGGGGAUAACAGGCUGAUCUUCCCCAAGAGUUCACAUCGACGGGAAGGUUUGGCACCUCGAUGUCGGCUCAUCGCAUCCUGGGGCUGAAGCAGGUCCCAAGGGUUUGGCUGUUCGCCAAUUAAAGCGGUACGUGAGCUGGGUUCAGAACGUCGCGAGACAGUUCGGUCCCUAUCUGCCAUGGGCGAAGGAAAGUUGAGAGGAGCUGGUUUUAGUACGAGAGGACCGAACCGGACGAACCGCUGGUGUACCAGUUGUCCUGCCAAGGGCACGUGCUGGGUAGCUACGUUCGGAAGGGAUAACCGCUGAAGGCAUCUAAGUGGGAAGCCCACCUCAAGAUUAACUUUCCCCAGGGGUUUAACCCCUCUAAAGGUACCAGGAAGACUACCUGGUUGAUAGGUUGGCGGUCUAAGCAUAGUAAUGUGUUCAGCCGACCAAUACUAAUUUACCGUGCGGCUUGACCA
rnacentral:rRNA from 1 species